rnacentral:rRNA from 1 species
CGGUAAUUCCAGCUCCAAUAGCGUAUAUUAAAGUUGUUGCCGUUAAAAAGCUCGUAGUCGAACUUCGGCCUUUGCCGCCCGGUCCGCCCUAUGGGUGUGUACUGGAGCGGUGGAGGCUUACCUCGUGGUGAACGGCCAUGCUCUUUACUGGGUGUGGUCGGGGACCAUGAUUUUUACUUUGAAAAAAUUAGAGUGUUCAAAGCAGGCUUACGCCCGAAUACAUUAGCAUGGAAUAAUAAAAUAGGACGUGCGGUUCUAUUUUGUUGGUUUCUAGAAUCGCCGUAAUGAUUAAUAGGGAUAGUUGGGGGCAUUCGUAUUCAAUUGCUAGAGGUGAAAUUCUUGGAUUUAUUGAAGACGAACUACUGCGAAAGCAUUUGCCAAGGAUGUUUUCAUUGAUCAAGAACGAAGGUUAGGGGAUCGAAAACGAUCAGAUACCGUUGUAGUCUUAACAGUAAACGAUGCCGACUAGGGAUCGGACGAGGAUUUUUAAUGACUCGUUCGGCACCUGAAGAGAAAUCUUUAAGUCUAGGUUCGGGGGGGAGUAUGGUCGCAAGGCUGAAACUUAAAGGAAUUGACGGAAGGGCACCACCAGGUGUGGAGCCUGCGGCUUAAUUUGACUCAACACGGGGAAACUCACCAGGUCCAGACACGACAAGGAUUGACAGAUUGAUAGCUCUUUCUUGAUUUCGUGGUUGGUGGUGCAUGGCCGUUCUUAGUUGGUGGAGUGAUUUGUCUGGUUAAUUCCGAUAACGAACGAGACCUUAACCUGCUAAAUAGCCCGGCCGACUUUGGUUGGUCGCUGGCUUCUUAGAGGGACUAUCAGCGUUUAGCUGAUGGAAGUUUGAGGCAAUAACAGGUCUGUGAUGCCCUUAGAUGUUCUGGGCCGCACGCGCGCUACACUGACCGAACCAGCGAGUUUAUCACCUUGGCCGGAAGGCCUGGGUAAUCUUGUGAAACUCGGUCGUGAUGGGGAUAGAGCAUUGCAAUUAUUGCUCUUCAACGAGGAAUACCUAGUAAGCGUGAGUCAUCAGCUCGCGUUGAAUUCGUCCCUGCCCUUUGUACACACCGCCCGUCGCUACUACCGAUUGAAUGGCUUAGUGAGGUCUCCGGAUUGGCUUCUGGGAGCCGGCAACGGCACCUAGUCGCUGAGAAGUUGAACGAACUUGGUCAUUUAGAGGAAGUAAAAGUCGUAACAAGGUAGCCG